rnacentral:rRNA from 1 species
AGCAGCCGCGGUAAUUCCAGCUCCAAUAGCGUAUAUUAAAGUUGUUGCAGUUAAAAAGCUCGUAGUUGAAUUUCGGGGUCAGUAGGUUGGUCAUGCCUCCGGUAUGUACUGGUCUCACUGGUUCCUCCUUCCUGAUGAACCGUAAUGCCAUUAAUUUGGUGUUGCGGGGAGACUGGACUGUUACUUUGAAAAAAUUAGAGUGUUUAAAGCAGGCUAACGCUUGAAUACAUUAGCAUGGAAUAAUGAAAUAGGACGUUCGAUCCUAUUUUGUUGGUUUCUAGGAUUGACGUAAUGAUUAAUAGGGAUAGUUGGGGGCAUUAGUAUUCAAUUGUCAGAGGUGAAAUUCUUGGAUUUAUUGAAGACUAACUACUGCGAAAGCAUUUGCCAAGGAUGUUUUCAUUAAUCAAGAACGAAAGUUAGGGGAUCGAAGACGAUCAGAUACCGUCGUAG